UACGUAGGUGGCAAGCGUUAUCCGGAAUUAUUGGGCGUAAAGCGCGCGUAGGCGGUCUUUUAAGUCUGAUGUGAAAGCCCCCGGCUCAACCGGGGAGGGUCAUUGGAAACUGGGAGACUUGAGUGCAGAAGAGGAGAGUGGAAUUCCAUGUGUAGCGGUGAAAUGCGCAGAGAUAUGGAGGAACACCAGUGGCGAAGGCGGCUCUCUGGUCUGUAACUGACGCUGAUGUGCGAAAGCGUGGGGAUCAAACAGGAUUAGA
rnacentral:rRNA from 1 species